GAUGAACGCUGGCGGCGUGCCUAAUACAUGCAAGUCGAGCGAACAGAUGAGAAGCUUGCUUCUCUGAUGUUAGCGGCGGACGGGUGAGUAACACGUGGGUAACCUACCUAUAAGACUGGGAUAACUCCGGGAAAGCGGGGCUAAUACCGGAUAAUAUUUUGAACCGCAUGGUUCAAUAGUGAAAGACGGUUUCGGCUGUCACUUAUAGAUGGACCCGCGCCGUAUUAGCUAGUUGGUAAGGUAACGGCUUACCAAGGCGACGAUACGUAGCCGACCUGAGGGGUGGAUCGGCCACACUGGAACUGAGACACGGUCCAGACUCCUACGGGAGGCAGCAGUAGGGAAUCUUCCGCAAUGGGCGAAAGCCUGACGGAGCAACGCCGCGUGAGUGAUGAAGGUCUUCGGAUCGUAAAACUCUGUUGUUAGGGAAGAACAAAUUUGUUAGUAACUGAACAAGUCUUGACGGUACCUAACCAGAAAGCCACGGCUAACUACGUGCCAGCAGCCGCCGCAA
rnacentral:rRNA from 1 species